AUUUAAGUAGCUUAAUAAGAGCACGGCACUGAAGAUGCUGGGGUGGUCAUUUGAUCCUUAAAUA
rnacentral:tRNA from 1 species